rnacentral:rRNA from 1 species
AUUGAACGCUGGCGGCAGGCCUAACACAUGCAAGUCGAGCGAGAGGCGGACGGGUGAGUAAUGUCUGGGAAACUGCCCGAUGGAGGGGGAUAACUACUGGAAACGGUAGCUAAUACCGCAUACCAUCAGAUGUGGCCCGAUGGGAUUAGCUCGUGGGGGGGGUAAUGGCUCACCCAGGCGACGAUCCCUAGCUGGUCUGAGAGGAUGACCAGCCACACUGGAACUGAGACACGGUCCAGACUCCUACGGGAGGCAGCAGUGGGGAAUAUUGCACAAUGGGCGCAAGCCUGAUGCAGCCAUGCCGCGUGUGUGAAGAAGGCCUUCGGGUUGUAAAGCACUUUCAGCGGGGAAGCGUUACCCGCAGAAGAAGCACCGGCUAACUCCGUGCCAGCAGCCGCGGUAAUAC